AUACAACUUAACCAUUAGUCAUUGACAUCAUCGUACAACCAAAUUCACAUAUAAUUAAAUAGUAUAACAUUCGACAAAGUAAACUUUGAUUUAUCCGACUAUCCUCUCGGAUUCUCUCGUUCCGAGUUCAGCUUCCAUUCCACGAGAAUCCCUCGUUCUCAUUCCUGCAUUACCUACCAAUCUCAAGCACAUUGUUAGUGAGAUCCUUACCCAAACAUAUUGAAACCAAGCAUACCUGCAUACGUACUUGCGUGCUUACAUAUUCGUGUCUACGCAUAUUUUACUUACAUCCAAUUCUUGUUUAACUUGUUCGUAUUCUUAACAAAUUUCAGCAUUCUAAACAUGGGGAGGCCGUCGGCGACGGCCCUACAGGGCAACCCAAAAACAUCAAGAGAACACCCAAAAUUUGGUUUAGAAGGCUUACCAUAGACCACGGUUGAUAUACUGAAGCUUACGAUACAUUAAACAACUUAGUUAACAAAUUUCAGCAUUCUAAACAU
rnacentral:lncRNA from 1 species